rnacentral:misc_RNA from 1 species
AAUCUUCAAAAUCCUCUUCUUUCGAAAAGGAUUUUUGGACUUGGAGGUUCAAUGCUCGCUUUUCGCAUUUGAAAGCGAGCUCCUCUCAAAAGAAUCAGUGGGGUCUGCUUUGCUGGUCCUCGACGUGAUAAGAUGUUUCUACGUUUUGGAUUUGGCAUAGUCCCUUGGAUGCCCCUGCUCCUAAUCGUCUCAUGGACAAAACGAUGGUGCUUCGGUCACCGCCGUCUACGUCGGCGGGAGGCUGGACCCACAGAAACCACGA